UACGGAGGGUGCGAGCGUUGUCCGGAUUUAUUGGGUUUAAAGGGUGCGUAGGUGGGUUAAUAAGUCAGUGGUGAAAUACAGCCGCUCAACGGUUGAGGUGCCAUUGAUACUGUAGAGCUUGAAAUAAUUGGAGGCUGCCGGAAUGGAUGGUGUAGCGGUGAAAUGCAUAGAUAUCAUCCAGAACACCGAUUGCGAAGGCAGGUGGCUACGAUUUAUUUGACACUGAGGCACGAAAGCAUGGGGAGCAAACAGG
rnacentral:rRNA from 1 species